GAUGAACGCUGGCGGCGUGCCUAAUACAUGCAAGUCGAGCGAACAGAUGAGGAGCUUGCGCCCCUGACGUUAGCGGCGGACGGGUGAAUAACACGUGGAUAACCUACCUAUAAGACAGUUAUAACUUCGGGAAACCUGAGCUAAUACCGUAUAAUAUAUUGAACCGCAUGGUUCAAUCGUGAAAGACGGUAUUUCUGUCACUUAUAGAUGCAUCCGCGCUUCAUUACCUAGUUGGUAAGGUAACGGCCUACCAAGGCGACGAUGCGUAGCCGACGUAAGAGGGUGAUCGACCACACUGAAAGUGGGACGGGGUAGAGACUCUUACCGGCGGCAGCGGUAGGGAAUCUUCCGCGACGAGUGUGAGCUUGUCGGAGCAACGCCGGGUGAGUGAUGAAGGUCUUCGCAUCCUAAAACUUUUUUUUUAGGGAAGAACAAAUAUGUAAGUACCUAUGCACGUCUUGACGGUACCUAAACAGAAAGCCACGGCUGAAUACAUG
rnacentral:rRNA from 1 species